rnacentral:rRNA from 1 species
GAGCUUGAUCCUGGCUCAGGACGAACGCUGGCGGCGCGCCUAACACAUGCAAGUCGAACGAGCGAGAGAGAGCUUGCUUUCUCGAGCGAGUGGCGAACGGGUGAGUAACGCAUGAGGAACCUGCCUCAAAGAGGGGGACAACAGUUGGAAACGACUGCUAAUACCGCAUAAGCCCACAGCUCGGCAUCGAGCAGAGGGAGAAGGAGCAAUCCGCUUUGAGAUGGCCUCGCGUCCGAUUAGCUAGUUGGUGAGGUAAUGGCCCACCAAGGCGACGAUCGGUAGCCGGACUGAGAGGUUGAACGGCCACAUUGGGACUGAGACACGGCCCAGACUCCUACGGGAGGCAGCAGUGGGGAAUAUUGCACAAUGGGGGAAACCCUGAUGCAGCGACGCCGCGUGGAGGAAGAAGGUCUUCGGAUUGUAAACUCCUGUUGUUGAGGAAGAUAAUGACGGUACUCAACAAGGAAGUGACGGCUAACUACGUGCCAGCAGCCGCGGUAAAACGUAGGUCACAAGCGUUGUCCGGAAUUACUGGGUGUAAAGGGAGCGCAGGCGGGAAGACAAGUUGGAAGUGAAAUCUAUGGGCUCAACCCAUAAACUGCUUUCAAAACUGUUUUUCUUGAGUAGUGCAGAGGUAGGCGGAAUUCCCGGUGUAGCGGUGGAAUGCGUAGAUAUCGGGAGGAACACCAGUGGCGAAGGCGGCCUACUGGGCACCAACUGACGCUGAGGCUCGAAAGUGUGGGUAGCAAACAGGAUUAGAUACCCUGGUAGUCCACACCGUAAACGACGAUUACUAGGUGUUGGAGGAUUGACCCCUUCAGUGCCGCAGUUAACACAAUAAGUAAUCCACCUGGGGAGUACGACCGCAAGGUUGAAACUCGAAGGAAUUGACGGGGGCCCGCACAAGCAGUGGAGUAUGUGGUUUAAUUCGACGCAACGCGAAGAACCUUACCAAGUCUUGACAUCCCUUGACGAACAUAGAAAUAUGUUUUCUCUUCGGAGUAAGGAGACAGGUGGUGCAUGGUUGUCGUCAGCUCGUGUCGUGAGAUGUUGGGUUAAGUCCCGCAACGAGCGCAACCCUUACUGUCAGUUACUACGCAAGAGGACUCUGGCAGGACUGCCGUUGACAAAACGGAGGAAGGUGGGGAUGACGUCAAAUCAUCAUGCCCUUUAUGACUUGGGCUACACACGUACUACAAUGGCGUUAAACAAAGAGAAGCAAGACCGCGAGGUGGAGCAAAACUCAGAAACAACGUCCCAGUUCGGACUGCAGGCUGCAACUCGCCUGCACGAAGUCGGAAUUGCUAGUAAUCGUGGAUCAGCAUGCCACGGUGAAUACGUUCCCGGGCCUUGACACAC